rnacentral:tRNA from 1 species
GCGGAUGUGGUGGAAUGGCAGACACCGGGGACUUAAAAUCCCCUGCCUUAACCGGCGUGCGGGUUCGAGUCCCGCCAUCCGCACAA